GAUGAACGCUGGCGGCGUGCCUAAUACAUGCAAGUCGAGCGAACAGAUGAGGAUCUUGCUCCUCUUACGUUAGCGGCGGACGGGUGAGUAACACGUGGAUAACCUACCUAUAAGACUGGGAUAACUUCGGGAAACCUGAGCUAAUACCGGUUAAUAGAUUGAACCGCAUGGUUCAAUAGUGAAAGACGGUUUUGCUGUCACUUAUACAUGUUUCCUCGCCGCAUUAGCUGGUUGGUAAGGUAACGGCUUACCAAGGCAACGAUGCGUAGCCGACCUGAGAGGGUGAUCGGCCACACUGGAACUGAGACACGGUCCAGACUCCUACGGGAGGCAGCAGUAGGGAAUAUUCCGCAAUGGGCGAAAGCCUGACGGAGCCACGCCGCGUGAGUGAUGAAGGUCUUCGGAUCGUAAAACUCUGUUAUUAGGGAAGAACAACUGUGUAAGUAACUAUGCCCGUCUUGACGGUACCUACUCAGAAAGCACCGGCUAACUACGUG
rnacentral:rRNA from 1 species